GAUGAACGCUGGCGGCGUGCCUAAUACAUGCAAGUCGAGCGAAUGGAUUAAGAGCUUGCUCUUAUGAAGUUAGCGGCGGACGGGUGAGUAACACGUGGGUAACCUGCCCAUAAGACUGGGAUAACUCCGGGAAACCGGGGCUAAUACCGGAUAACAUUUUGAACCGCAUGGUUCGAAAUUGAAAGGCGGCUUCGGCUGUCACCUAUGGAUGGACCCGCGUCGCAUUAGCUAGUUGGUGAGGUAACGGCUCACCAAGGCAACGAUGCGUAGCCGACCUGAGAGGGUGAUCGGCCACACUGGGACUGAGACACGGCCCAGACUCCUACGGGAGGCAGCAGUAGGGAAUCUUCCGCAAUGGACGAAAGUCUGACGGAGCAACGCCGCGUGAGUGAUGAAGGCUUCCGGGUCGUAAAACUCUGUUGUUAGGGAAGAACAAGUGCUAGUUGAAUAAGCUGGCACCUUGACGGUACCUAACCAGAAAGCCACGGCUAACUACGUGCCAGCCGCCGCCGUAA
rnacentral:rRNA from 1 species